rnacentral:lncRNA from 1 species
GGCUACGCGAGCGGUCCUGGUUAUACCGAGAUAACCUGAAGUAUCUAUAGUGCCCUGUCCAAUCCAGGGAACGGGACGCUAACCACCUCUAGCACCCCGCUGCCGGCCAAGGGGCGGGGCUGAAGGUUUCAUAUCGCGACAGUCUCUAUCGAGCCGUAGGCAGGAACUCUAACGUAAUUACAGAAUCUUAUUCAUUCUAAAUUACCGCCCAUUUGGAAAAGGAAAAUGCUAUAACUAUUUACUCUGAGCUGCUUUUCAAUAGGUUGGUGGUAGAUGGAAGGCCGUGUUGCCCAACUGAGUCCUUUGAAGAGUGUCUCUGGUGGUGAACGAAAAACGUUGUAGUGUCGUCGUUGUGUGGUAGAGGGGAUACUCUGUCCGUCCUUUCUGAGUCCAUGUUUACAGCGCCCGCUGCUAACUCAACGGCUAGCAGGUAUCACUUCUGUAGCGAAUAAGAGUUCAAAGUUCAUACCAUUCGCAACCAAAGCUCAGGCUGAAGUUGGCUUCGUUUUGUAGUUAUUAUCUGAAUCUUUCUGACAUCGGAUCGUCAUCCUAAUGUACCCGGAACAGUUAUUAUCUGAAUGCUUCUGACAUCGGACCGUCAUCCUAAUGUACCCGGAACAGGAGGUUACAUUUUCGUCAAGGUGGAGGGAGAGAAUGGUUGCCAUGCCGACGAAAGAGAAGGUGUUUUCAUUCUGUAACAAGGCCUUCACUUCAGUCUGGAUGGCUGCUUGACUGCAGACAGGUUACACAGUAUCAGUGGAGGUGUUAGGCUGUUUCUGCUCUCCUCCCAACUACUAAUGGAAUUGUCCUGCCAAUGCAACGUAUGAAAAUGUAUCCAGUCACUACUGUAAGUCUCUCUGGAUAAAAGCGUCUGCUAAAUGACUCACAUGUUCAAUGUAAUGUUCAGUUUGACAAUAUCAAUGGAAUAGACCAAAGCAGAGCCAUGUAUUUAGAUAUGAACAGAUAUCUCGAUGGAGGAUAAUGUCAGUAUUUAGCUACGUUAUUAGCUGUUUUGCUCACCAAAGGUGGAACAAAGUGAAACUGUUGAUGUCAAUGUCUCAGUUCCGGGAGAGUAGUGGGUGAAACCAUUCACCUCAGGAAAAGGGGUGAUGUAAAUAACGUUUCCUUUCAUUAUGUGUUACUGAAUUAAUUAAAAUAUUUGCUGCCAUUGUAGUAAUGUUGGUAAUACGAGAGGUCUUCG